GACGAACGCUGGCGGCGUGCUUAACACAUGCAAGUCGAACGGGAAGAGAUGAAGAGCUUGCUCUUUAUCAAAUCCAGUGGCAAACGGGUGAGUAACACGUAAACAACCUGCCUUCAGGAUGGGGACAACAGACGGAAACGACUGCUAAUACCGAAUACGUUCCACGGGCCGCAUGACCUGUGGAAGAAAGGGUAGCCUCUACCUGUAAGCUAUCGCCUGAAGAGGGGUUUGCGUCUGAUUAGGCAGUUGGUGGGGUAACGGCCCACCAAACCAACGAUCAGUAGCCGGUCUGAGAGGAUGAACGGCCACACUGGAACUGAGACACGGUCCAGACUCCUACGGGAGGCAGCAGUGGGGAAUCUUCCGCAAUGGACGAAAGUCUGACGGAGCAACGCCGCGUGAGUGAAGACGGCCUUCGGGUUGUAAAGCUCUGUGAUCCGGGACGAAAGAGCCUGAGGUAAUAGCCUAAGGAAGUGA
rnacentral:rRNA from 1 species